GCGGAAGUGGCGGAAUGGCAGACGCGCAACGUUGAGGUCGUUGUGAGCAUUAGCUCGUGUGGGUUCGACUCCCAUCUUCCGCA
rfam:Enterococcus canis strain DSM 17029 Scaffold1, whole genome shotgun sequence.